rnacentral:lncRNA from 1 species
GGAUAGCCUAGAUGGAGAGAGGACUCUCCCAUUAUAUAUAUAGAUUCUAUACAUUAUAAUUUCGGAAAAUAAAAAUCAAAUUUUUCAAAAAAUUAUUUUACAUAAUUUACAUAAUUUUUAUACAAAUAUGCAAAAUCCUUAAACAGUAACUUAAAAAAAAUUACAAUGAAAUAGAGAAAUAGGUGACUCUAACUUAUUGAAAAACAAAACGAAGAGCUUCGUGCUGUCUAACGUACUUGAAUCAUUUAAUAAAACCAUGUUUAAAUAUCAGAACUUCUUGGUUUUGCUCCUCUUGACCUCUUGAGAAAUUAAUAUGACCAUUUCCAAGACUUCUCUUCUCACAUUCAGGAAAACACUGAUACAUCUCUCUCUUCUUAUUCGGGAGAGAAUUGAUACAUUGAUGAUUUUCUGUGGCCUGGCAUCCAAUUUCGGCUACAACUCUUUUCACCUCUUUAGCAAUUUCCUUGAUAAAAUCGGCUUCUGAACUGCAAAAAAUUGUAAGUUGAUUGAAAGCAUGCUAUUUUGUGAAUGUACUUUUCGUUCAUAAAACGAAACAUAAAACCAAAACAAACACGUGUUGUUGUAUCCAUAAUCCUUAAGAUCCACACAUCUUUAACAUUAUCUUUAUCACACCAAAAAAAAAAAAAGAUUCCAAGUCCCUUGGCAUGUAUACGUUUCUCUCAAACAUGAUUUGUUCUUUUUCUUGAAAAUAGUAGUAUUUAAAUGUGAAAAAAAAAAAUUAAAGAGAUAAGAUGAGAUAGUGAUGUGUGUGCAUGAUUGAUAAAUAAAAUAACAUUUGCUUAAAAACAUGUGCAUAUUCUAUAUGAAUUUAAGAAAGCAUAUGCGAUAAAUGAACCAACUUAUCUACAUUCAUUUGUUUUAGUAAAUACUACUCCCUCCGUUUCAUAAAGAGUGUCGUUUUAAGGUUUUAUUUUUGUUUCAUAAAGAGUGUCGUUUUAGGUUUUCAAUGCAAAAUUUAAUGUUUUUUAAUGUUUUAUGACUAUUAGUAUUCUGCAUAUUGUUUUACUAUUGGGCAGAUUAUGUUUAGGUAUAUAGUUAAUGAUGUUUUUGUUUAGAAAAAACAAAAAAUUUAAUGUUUUCUUAAUCUGUGUGCAAAACUCUAAAAUGACACUCUUUGUGAAACAGAGGGAGUAUAACAUAAAAUGACAAAAUAAUUUGAGAUCAAAUCUUUUUUUUAUGUCAAACGUGAAAUUAACUUAAAAAAAAAGGGUAAAUUUCAAGUUAUGGCAGUUGACCAAGUUUUAUUUUCAAGUUUUGGCAAAGUGAGAAUGAGCUUUCAUGUUUUGACAUUUUGGCCAAAAUCUGACCAUUUUACCCUUACCGAUGUACUGUUCACUGUACGGUUUAGUUAAGCGUACGGUUCAGUUAAGCGGUUCACUGUACGGUUCAGUUAAGAGGUUUAGUUACGUACACUGUUCCGGUUACGCAAUAUAUUUCGCUCUUAAUUGAUUUUGUGCGGGAGUACAGUGACAAGUUGGGAAUAAAAACAUUAAAACACAAUGAGACAUCAGUAUUUAAUGCCCAAAAAGUUUAGACAUGACUCAUGUCACAAUUAAUGCAAAAGUCAUCAUUACUUUUCUAAUAUUAGUUUUUAUGCGUGAAUAGUUGUAAGAGACAAACAUGAUCCAUGAAACAAACAAAUUUUUCUGAACGAAUGUGAUUCUGCAUCGGUUUGAUCUUCUUGAUUUACAAAGUUUGGAGCCAAGACAAGCAUUGAACGUGUAAGUAAUGAAAUUGGUUAAGAAGUUUUUUGUUUUAACACACUAGGGUCUUGAUUGUGUGCUAAGAUCAACAUUGUUUUUAUAUAAAAACCCAGAAUAUUUUUAUUUCCACUUUUUUUAGUUGAAAUUGCUAAAUGAGGAUAGAUUUAUGUUUAUAAGUGUGUAGUUGGGAAUUCUUUUUGUUUUUUGUAGAUAUAAUCAUGCUUUCAUUUGCAUUUAAUGGGGUUCUGCUGAAUUUAUGAUGCAGGUUGGUAAUGGAUAUUCCCGUAUUUACUAUGGUGGGUGAGUGGAAAUGCAAAGAAGAAGAAUGGAAAUUUGAACCAUGGGAAGGCUGGUUUGGUCGUUGUGUACGUGUUAGGCAAAACAUGACGUACACGGAAUUUGUACGUACAUUAUGCGAGGUUUUCAGUUUGAAGUGCACCGAAUGCAAUCCAAUAAUUAGUUACUGGAUGCCGGGAAAGAUGUCAGUGAUGAUAGAAAGUAAACGCCCUCCUGUAUACAUUGACAAUCAAAUGAACCUGGAUACAUUCUUUUUGAUUCGUGGUGGGGAUCCUAGUGUCACCUUGUUUGUCUCUUUCAAGGCACUCGGGAAUACUGUCCCUAGGACCGAUGGUGAGAGUUACCGUGUGUGUGGGAGUGCAACGACACCAAAUCCCAUCGUAGCGGCUUCAAAUGUAGAUGGAAAUAAUGAGGCCGUAGAUGAGCAAGACGACGUUGAAGACGAUAAAACAGAUGAGGAUGAAGAAGAGGAGGAGGAAAACGAAGAUGGUGCUGGGUAUGAUGAUUAUCAGGGUGAUGAUGGAUCUAUGGGGGGAAGUACCCUCGAUCCUACUAUAGACGGUAGUGAAGGCAGUGGCGAAGAUUACGAUUACAACAAGUGGAACGAUUUAAUUAUUGAAGAAUAUGGAAUAGGGAAUGUUGAGGAGGACGUCAUUCUCACUCAACAAACGGUUCAACAUCCAGGGGAAUUCAGUCGUCUAUUGGCAGAGUGUACGUACACAAGUCAUCGUGUACGUGGGGGAGAUAACUCGGUUGACCUUACACCAACGGUGACUCCAAGACGUACGUGUCAACAUGGUUUGUACCAAUGUACGUACACAACAGAAUGUGUACAAGAUACAGGCUGCGAAGGUAACACCGAUCCCAAUAUUAAUGGUAUAGACGAUGUCUCUGGGGAUGAUGUUAUCGACCGUGGUAUUGGAGAUUCCCCAAGUGGGACACUGAAUGAUAAUCGGCUAGUUACUGCACCUGGCGGAGAUAACAUUUCUCAUUCGGGUGACCGUACACCAACGGUGACUCCAAGACGUACGUGUCAACAUGGUUUGUACCAAUGUACGUACACUACAGAGUGUGUACAAGAUUCAGGCUGCGAAUGUAACACGGAUACCAAUAUUAAUGGUAUAUACGAAGUCACUAUCGACCGUGGUAUUGGAGCUCCCGCAAAUGGGACACUGAAUGAUAAUCGGUUAGUUACCGCAGCUGAGGCUUACGAAGUGUAUAAUGACUUUUCUACAUUACAUGGUGGCGAGUUGGAGAUUCUCGAUAAUGAUGCUGCUCCGGUAUUCGAUGAUUUAGCCAAUUUACGAGAUGAUGAGACACAAGUCGAACUGAGUACGACAGGUGAGACUUUGUAUGUCGGGAGUGUUUUUAAGAACAGAAAAGUCAUACAACAAACAAUGUCUUAUCUCGCAAUCAAACAAUGCUUUUGCUACAAGCAACGUAGGUCAUGUCCUACAAGAUUGGAGAUGGUCUGCGUUGAUGAUACUUGUCCAUGGCAUUUGACAGCUCAAGUUGUCAAGAAUUCAGAAUGUUUCAAAAUCACAUCGUAUGAUACCACCCAUACGUGUGACAUCGACACUCGUAAGCAUUAUAAUAAACAUGCUAGUUAUAAGCUUCUCGGAGAGGUAGUGAAGAGCAGAUACAGUUCUACGCAAGGGGGUCCGAGAGCUGUCGAUUUACCACAGUUGCUCCUAAAUGAUCUCAAUGUUCGGAUUUCAUAUUCUACCGCUUGGAGAGCAAAAGAGGUUGCAGUGGAAAAUGUAAGGGGGGAUGAUAUAAAAAGUUACAGGUUUUUGCCUACCUAUUUGUAUCUUCUUAAAUUAGCUAAUCCGGGUACGAUAACUCACCUACACUCUACACCUGAAGCUGAUGGUACGCAGCGCUUUAAGUAUGUUUUUGUAUCUCUCGGGGCUUCUAUAAAAGGUCUGAAGUAUAUGAGGAAGGUAAUUGUCGUAGAUGGAACGCAGCUAGUAGGACGUUACAAGGGAUGUCUCCUCAUUGCAUGUGCCCAAGACGGGAACUUCCAAAUAUUUCCAAUAGCGUUUGGUGUUGUGGAUGGUGAGACUGACGCUUCAUGGGUGUGGUUCUUUGAUAAAUUAGCUGACAUUGUUCCAGACAGUGAAGAAUUAAUGAUUGUAUCGGACAGACAUUCUUCAAUAUAUAACGGCCUCAGUGUGGUUUAUCCGAAAGCUCAUCAUGGUGCAUGUGCAGUACACCUUGAGCGAAAUAUCUCCACCCAUUAUGGUAAGUAUGGUGUAUCUGGAUUAUUCUUCAGCGCUGCUAAAGCUUACAGAGUGAGAGAUUUUGAAAAAUACUUCGAACAGUUAAGGGCUAAGAGUGCUGCAUGCGCAAAUUACUUAGAGGAAAUUGGAUUUGAGCAUUGGACAAGAGCUCACUGUAAAGGGGAACGCUACAAUAUCAUGUCUAGCAACAACUCGGAGUCUAUGAAUAAUGUCUUAACAAGAGCCAAAUCAUAUCCGAUUGUGUACAUGAUAGAGUUCAUUCGAGAGGUCCUAAUGCGAUGGUUCGCAGCGAGGAGGCAAAAAGUGGCUAGGUGUAAGUCUUUAGUGACGCCUGAGGUUGAUGAGCGUUUUCUCCAAGAUUUGCCUGCGUCAGGGAAUUCGCGGUUAAGAUGUCUGGACCGUGGAGUUAUCAACUUACAAGCAAGUUAGGUGAGCAUUUUCAUGUCGUUCUGGACGAGUGUACGUGUACGUGUCUUAGGUACACAAAGUUGAGAAUCCCAAGUGAACACGGUCUAGCAGCUGCAAUCGAGUUUGGAAUAGAUCCGAAGGUUGUUGUAGGAUGGUGGUAUGGCCUUCAAACGUUUUCCGAUUCUUUUCAAGAACCGAUUCUACCAAUCGCGGAUCCGAAGGAUGUUGUCAUCCCACAACAUAUAUCGGAUUUGAUACUAAUUCCUCCAUACUGUAGACGACCACCAGGAAGACCAACAACCAAAAGGAUUCCAUCUAGAGGUGAAAACCGGGUAAGUGCUAUCAUUCAAACGUUUUGAGUAUAAGAUGCGUAGAUUAUUAACUUAUUGUUGUUGUCAUUUCAGAAAAAGAGACAGAAAAGACUUAUUCCGAAUCAGUGCACACGAUGUAGACAAGCAGGUCAUAACAAGAAGACUUGCAAAAAUCCUAUUUAGUUCUCCUCAAAAGCCUUAUGUCUCCGCGAAGACAGUGUACGUUUAUGUGUGGACAGUGUGUACCAAAGUGUUGUGACGGUGUACGUACGUUUAAUAUUUGCCAGCGUAUAACUAUGUACGUUUUCUGAGUGUACGUUUUGUUAGUGUACGUGUUUGUUGUGUCUGUGUACGUAUAAUCUUCAUGCAAUAAACGGUUACAAACGGUUACACACAUUUGUAUCUCAACCGUUGGAACACUUUCGCACUACCCACCGCGUCCGUUACGGAAUUUCCUUAUUUAAGCCACAUCUCCUCCUCAAUUUUAUCCACAUUCCUUCAAACGAAAACCCUUUCCCACAUCGGCAGUUACAUCAAUCAAACACAAAGUCUUUCGAUUGUUCUUGCUAACCGUGUGAUGGACGGGUAUCACACCAUCUCUGAAUUGUGUCCUCAGAUCACUGGGUGGACAAUUUGUGUAUUUGUCGUGAGAGUGUUUAAGAAGUUUGUUGCGCCCAACAUCUUCGAACUCGGCCUUAUCUUGGCAGAUAAUUCGGUAGUUUCCCUGUGCCGUGUUUGUGUUUUUUUAUCAUACGUUAGGUUCUAUUCUAUAUAAAUCUGUUAUAUAUCAUAUUCUGUAGGGAUCCCGUUCCCGUAUCGAGGCCACCAUUGAUCGUCGCCUUGCUCCUUUUUACAUAGACCGAAUCAAAGAAAAUGAGUGGAAAAUUGUGACCACUUUCUUGGUCCGUAACGUCGCUGACCCAGUGAGAGCAACAUCUCAUGACUACGGCAUAUGGUUUAUGGAUCGGACCGUCGUUACUAACGCCUUACGAAGGGACCCAAUAUCGUUUUACGAUUUCACUCAAUUCGACUACAUUUUGGAGAAAACAGUUGAUACUAAAGUUUUAGUCGGUGAGAUGUUUUUUAAGUUACGUUUUAUUUACACAUUUUUGAAAUUAGAAGUUUAUUUCUAUUUUAUGGCCCUUGAUAUGUAGAUGUCAUUGGAGCGUUGUUGGAGGUUGGCCACUUGACCAGAGACUUCGACGGUCUCAAGCUUCCUUUCAAGAUCAAAGAUAGAUAGUAAAUGUUCUUUUCACAUUUGAUUCACUUACACUUUUUAAUCUAAACGCUGACUUGAUUCUUCUUUUAAUAUAAUGUAGCAACGAAGUUUUGGAAUGCGAAGCACACAAUGAACAGGCGUUGGAAUUCCAAACCUUCUUUCGGAGUCUAGGUCAGCGCAAUGUUGUUGUCGCACUCGUCUUCUGGCGUUUAACCGACAGAGCUAAUCCUAAGGUUGUGAGUCAUGGUCCUGUGUCAAAGGUCUUUGCCGAUCCGGACACACCGGAAGUGGAAGAGAUCAAGCAGGUCGUUUUUUAGAUAGGGGGAUUUGUUUUCCCCAGUCUUCUUAUUAUUAAUGACCAGAUUUAUAUUAAGUAUUGUAAAACUACAUAAACUUGUUGUCGUUUUCUAAUUACUUGAAUUUGUAUAAUAAACUAUUGGGUAACUGUACGUACAUUUUAUACGUACAGUGUCUUCAAUUACAAUUAAUUUGCCAGUGUACGUUUUACUAGCUUUUUGGUUCUUCAAUCAGCAAAUUGUACGAAACCCGUGUUCGUACACGAAAACAUACAUAUAUCAUAUUUUUUGUCCUCAAACAACAAAAACUUCAUUCAUUCAUAAUUAAAUGCCCGAAGAAGGACAUACAUUUAAGAAAGACAAACUAUAUAUUAGAUGCGGAAGCAAUAAACUAAAAAGUAGAGCCCGAAGCAUACACAUGAGCCGGAAAAUUGUAUGCCUCAUCCGUCAUUAUCAAAGUCAUAUCUAAUAGAAGACACACAUCUUCCUCGCGUACCAGUAAAAGAAACACCCUCUGCAGCCGGAACUGUACGUGCAACGGCCAAGACAUGCCGGUGUGUGCACAUACCUCCAUGAACGUUGCCAGAGCCGAGGACCUUCGGUGUGAAGCUGGCUUAUGUGAUACAUCACCAUCUCCCCCACUGCGUGAGCUGCCGCUAAUGUGGGUGUCAUCGCCCAGAACAUAUCGCUGACUGGAAGAAAGUCGACAUGGUUGCCAGUACAAGUUAGGAAUAAGCCGGUCGCGAAGCAGGCGAGAGGGUUGGAUGGAGCGACGGAGUUGAGUAGUGUAAUGCCGUGGGCCACCGUUAGGAAGCUGCUUGCCUGGCGGACACCUUCGAGGUAUAUAGCCGGGAUCGCACCCCUUUCCAGCAAGAGGCUGAAGUAGGCCCUGAAGGGAGACUCCGGCUGCACGAAGUGAGGCCAUGUGAUGAAGUCGUCCAUCACUAUUGCGUUUACGUCACUUGCUUCGACCAAUUGGCGGAGGGUCUCGAUGGGAGUCUGGGAUACGGGCAGGUAGUUGAUGAGGACGGAAAUCGGGUUUGGCAAUUGUAUUGCAAGGUACAUCUCGGUUGGAGGGGUUGCGGGGAAAGCCAUGUUGUUAACAAAGGAGGUUUAGAAAUAAUCUUGCAGUUGAUGAAAGAAGGAAGUUUUAGAAUGAUGUGAGCAAAUAAAUUAGUGUGUGUGAUAUCGUUUAUAUAGGGCCUAAAUAUUGAGUUCAUGUACAUGGCUACAUUUGGGGGGAACGCAUUAAUAAAGUGUCAUUAUUUUUAAAGUUCUUCUUAUCUGACAAAUGCAAGUGUACAUUAAUUGCAAACCGUGUACGUAAAGUAAGGAGAUUUAUGCGAAAAGAUAGAGGUCAUUCUAUGAAUAGAGCUUGGCCGUAUGCAUUAAAUAACCACUCCAAAACUUGUAGAUAUGGGUUAUUACAGGUCAAAUCAAUCAGAAUUGCAUCAUCAUUUACUACCAUCUCGAAAGUCGCUUCUCAUAUUUAUAGUUUUAAACCAACUAAAAUACGUGUACACAGUAACGUAUACCCGUGUACGUAUGUCUACCCUUAUUACGUUCUCUGACUAAAAGUUUGAGUUGAUGUCUGUCGCCGAAUUAGGGGAAAAGAUUGAGUUCAUGUAUAUGGCUAAAUCUGGGGGAAACGCAUUAAAAACCAAAUCUCUUUCUUUUGCAAUUUCGUUUUAUCUGACAAAAGACAGUGUACAUUAAUUACAGGGAUGUGUACGUAUAUAUGUACAUAAAUUUGCGUUUCUUUUUUUUUUUUUUGAAAGAUAGAGGUCAUUAUCAAUGACUAAAUCAGGUCAGUAUGUAUUUACUGAUAAUUCGUAAGCCUCUGUAGACAAGGCACCAUUAUCUAACAUUAAGAAACUUGUUUCUCAAUUUAAUAUAAAAUAUUACAAUUAUUUGUAACCAUUCAUAAGAUUUAGUAGUAUAUGAGAAACAAGCAAGGAUGUAGAUAAAAAGAUAUUCAUUACUGAUAAGCAAAGUACAAUUGCAAAGGCCACAUAUUAUAACAUAAAAACUUAGAAAUUCAGAUAAUAUUACGUAAGAAAUCCCUAGAGAAUUUGAAUAAUUCUUCUCGCACACCACCAGAGGUAACAUACGUUGCACACAUUCUUGAAGGGUCCAGAUCUGAUGUAACACAGCAUCGCGCAAGGAGGCGUUUGAAUACCACGUUCCUCAGGGUACGAAAAUGUUGCGCCGUAUGUGUUGUUUAACCUAAUUCCAUAAUUUUUUAUUUCUUCUAGGAGUUCCUCACACAUGUCACGUGUUUCUUCUGAUUCCAAAGGGUAAUGGUUGUUUGCGAACAGGCGUAGGUACACACCACCCAUGUGAGCAUUCCCGUCGCAUAUGCACAGAAUAGCGCAGGCCAGGGUUGCAUCGGCGUGCCUUGGUACAUUCCGCUGUAAAAGUACAAUGGCGCCCUUAAUGUCAGACUCAUGGGUAACUAGACGCAGUCCUUCAUGGUAAAUAGCAAUCGGGUUACCAGCCUCUAGACACCUUUUGAAAAAGGGUCUAUAUCGACCUUCAGCGUUGAUGUCAUUCGGAUCAUGGCCUACCGCAUGGAAGUCAUCGGGAUCACUGCACAUGCUAUAAAUAUUAGCAUCUUUCAAGACAUCCGGCCUGUAGACAAUGUUUCUUCCACCACGCCCUGAUCUUAACAGAGGUCCGAGGUACCACCAACAUUUGUCAGCCAUUUUUUUGGCUAUCUUGGCUAGCAAAUCUUCAGGUAGAUUUGGUGUAGACAUUUCUAGGAAUUUGGUGUUUCAAAACAAUGCAAUUCCUACUCUUAAAUAAAGAACAAUGAAGUUAGUUGGUUAAGUUAUGGUUGUAGUUAAUGCAAUCUUACGUAAGUGAUGGAGGGUUGUCAAAUCAAUGUAAGUAAGAUGCAGUGGGGGAGGGUUGUCAAAUCAAUGUAAGUAAAGAAAUAGAUAUCUUAUUAUGAGAAAAAUCGACUUUGUGUAAAAGACGUACGUUAUAUAAGAUGUACGUACACAUGUUGGUUUUUGAAUAAGUGUACGAUGUGCAGAUUGUUUAGAGAAGAUAGUUAUAACGAUUACAUAAAUAUUUUGAGGAUCUCCAUAAUUAAUUACGUUGUUCUAAUUAGGUUGUUGAAAUAAGGAAAUAAGUACUAGGAAAUAAAAAUAAUUCAACAUCCAGGGAUGAUUACAAUAAACGCCGGUUACCACACUCGCGCUUGCCGUGCUCGUAGAUUUCUGUUGCGUACACCUGACGGUAGGUGGCCAUAUCUGCUUCUUGAAUAUUCACCAAGUCUGACAUUGGGUUACCAAACGCCAGCAACUCCAAGAACUUCAUUGCGUAAGGCCCGCAAUCUCCUGUACUUGGGUUUUGAGCGACCAUAACAUUUCUCUCAUAGGCAAAAGGUUCAACUGAGUACUUCGCAGGCAAUACAUCCGCGCACAUCGCUCUCACUAGGUACGGCAUCAUCUCGCAGACAGGCUGCAUCUUUGACCAUGCAACAGACUCCCGCGUGUGUUCUAUGAGAGCGUCAUAGACAACUAUAUUCCGGGCUCUGAGGUGGAUUGCCAACCCAACCCAAUGAUCACCUUUCCAGUUCAUCGGAGCAUAUACCACGUCGACAUCCUUGAACCACCUAAGACUAGGUUCACGGUGUAUGUGUAUUCCAUUGGCCAUGUCGUAUAGCCGGUCGCCCCAUUUGAACCCAUGCUUAUUUCUACAAUUCCUGAAGCUGACAGCACGCUUAGUAAGCUCAUAAAGCAGGAAGGAGUCCAAAACAACGCAUCGGUUUGCUAUCAUUUGUUGACCGUUCUUGUGCCACAUCAAGAUUGCGAGCAUUUCCAAGAUCUGAAAUGAUAAUAGCAUAGGCAGUCAGUGUACGUACAAUUCAGGCAUAUUUAAAAAAUGUACAUAAAUGUACUAUUUCAACUUACCAUAUUAUCCACCCACUGUCCUUGUGCUAUAAGCAUGGAGAAAAACUCGUUGUCCACUUUGCGAUACCCGAAAAGAGUGUGCUUCCUGUAUAUCCAAUAUUAUAGUAUGCCUGGUUGUUAUAGAAAACCAAUGUAUCAAUUAAGGGAUAAUUUUGAUAAUGCACGAUACUUACACAUUAAAACCGCGGAGGACAUUGGUUAAGAUCUCUAAUUUGGAAGCAUCAACCUUCUCCAAGGGGUUGUAAGGGACAUUUCCAGCCGCUAUAACAACCUCUGAAUCUUCAGCUCGUCCAGGAACAUCCUGCACGAGGACUGUUGUUUCCUUAAAACCUUCCGGAAGGGCGUCAUCCAUCUCAACAAUUAUUUGCUUCUUCAUUUUUUUGGGUACAACCGGCGUAGGAAUUUUAACAGCUUCGACUGCAGCAUCGUUGUUUGGUUCAUCCUGUAAAGAAGUAUUAUUGUAAACAGCAUGAUUAAACAAUUUCAAAAUGUAAUGAUAAUAUUUACUGAGAAGAUACUCACAAUAUUUUCUAGUGUACCAACUGUCGUGUCUGCUUCAUCUAACCCUGGGUUUGAAUCCUUUUGUUCUUCCACCCCGUCGAUAAUCCCCUGCUGCUCCAACACUCCCUUUUCAAAUUAACGUGCAGAAUUAUUUAAAUGUACGCAUACAAUCCUAUGUACGUAUGUUAAUAACUGUGUAUAAUUUUAAACCAAACACGAGAUUUUUACCUCCUUUACAUUAGCUGCAUCCACAUCCAUGGAGGCUGUCGUUGCCAACUCCUGUAACACCUGCAUAAUAGAAGAUUAUAAAUUUAAACAAGCCUACACUACACUAUUUUAUUUAAAAAUAUAGUUAGCUUACAUUCCUAACUACUGCACAUGGUGAAGGGGGAUCCCCUAGGGUGCCCUCAAGUACUGAGUCAUCCACUUUACUCUCUGCAACUACAUUGGGUACAUCUCCCGCAUCAACCUGUGGCAGUAGUUAUCAACUUCAUCGGCUAUAUACUCUAUUUUGUGAUGUCUGAAACAAUCAUUACUUAUACGUACACGGGAAAUAAGAAAGACAAAUGUACGUACACUUACACCGGGUUCCUCGGUGUGUUCAGCCUGAGAAGAUGUAUCUCUAUCAUUACCCUCAGAAAUUUCUGGUUGCUCCCCAACAUUUGCUUCACUCUCAAGACCGGCACCAUGUUCUUCUCCCUGAAACAAAUAUACCAUACACGUCAUUCAGUGAGUACACAUAUGGAAAACUACAUUUGACUAUUAGCAGACCAUAUACCUGUCCAGAUGUUGCAGGUAAACCUGAUGGAUUUUCUACCAUCUCUGUGUCAGCAGUUGGUUUUUCAUCUGUCCCUCGCUGUGUACCAACUACGACAGGCUCACCACCAUCAAUUGGUCCUUUAUCCUAAAACAUAGUAUACCAUACACUUCUUAAGCUAUAUGUACGUGGAGAACUGAAAAUAAUUGAUAAUGGUACACUUAUGGAAAACAGUAUGUGACUAUUAGCACAAGACAUACCUGUACAGAGGUUGAAGGUACAGGAGAUGGAAUUUCUUCCAUCUCUGUGUCACCACUAGCUUUUUCCUCGGUCCCUGACUGUGUACCAACAAGGACAGACUCACCACCAUCACGUGCUCCUUCAUCCUGAAACAUAGUAUACCAUACACUUCUGAAGCCUAUGUGUACGUACACAACUGGAAAUAAUUGAAAAAAAUAUUUGUACACGACAUACCUGAUGGGAAGGUGUAGGUCCACCAACUGAAAUGUUAGCUACUCCAGUGUCAACCAUACCUUCAUCUCUGUUCGAAAAAUCUCCUCCAUCAUUUACAGAAAAACCACCUUCAUUGUUGGCUUCAUCCUGUACCAUAGCAGACAAGUUACAGUUAUUAAUCUUCAUGUACGUACAUUUAAAAUACUAUAUAUAAAUGUACGUACAUGCCAUACCUGGUCAUCUUCCUCAGAGGAAGAGUUACCAUCAGGAAGCUGAGUAAUCUCAGCAACUGACGUCAUUAUAUUCUUCAGCCUUGAAGACUUUCUUGUUCCAGACUUGAAUACUUUCUUUGUAGACAUCUUUUUAGAUGCCUUCUUCACACUCAUCGGUGCCUUACCCACCGAUUUAUUUGGGCCCUGUGAAGCAUGGGAAGUUUUGGUUGGUUCUGUCUUUUUGACCUUUGGAUCUAAGGCAGCACGAAUCUCCUUACGGACAAAUUUCUUCAAGUCUUCUUGCAUUUGUUUAUUUUGUGCUUCCUGCCUCUUGAAACACCUCCUAAGUUCAACUACAAACUUCUCAAACUGGGGAUCUCCAGAACAAUCCUCAGCAGUGUCCUCAUUUUCUUCUUCCACAACAGAUUUCUGUUUUUUCAAAGAAGGUGCAUUCGGGGCUGGUACAUUUCUUUUCCUCUUCUUCACACCUACGAUAGACCAGUUUAAUCAUUGAUUGGUCUUCAAGGGACAAUAAUCAGAAAGUAUAAAAACAACAUUUACACUCACGUAUCUCUCCAAGUUGUGGUGGGCGCUCCUGCUUUGGAAAUGCAGCAUUACCUCCAACCCAUUCUUCCUCCUUCCACUCAUGACCCGCUAACAACAGUCGCUCAAUGUAAGCAACUCUUGGAUCCUCAACUUCAUCAUCCCAUGACAGGGAUGGAGGACAAAUAUUGUCCUCUGGUUUCACAAGAUAGGUUACCUCAACCUACACCAAUAAGUUUGUUGACCACUUAGAGAAUGUACACUUACUUUUUAAAUAAUGUACGUACAUAAACAAUUGUACAUACCUCUUCAGCAGCCUCACACUCCAAGAUGCUGGAUGUCCUGAUUGCCCGCAGUGAGGCAAGAUGAUGGAUAGACCUCUGAGUAAAUGUCCUGUUAGCUUCAUCAUCAGGUACUAGCUUAGCAAGGGAUGGGAUUGUUUCGAACGCAAACAGCUGGAGUGCUAAUGGGAAUCCAUGUAGUGCAUAAGACCCAUCCUUUACACACCUUAUCAGUUUUUGAGCAUCUGAAGGGGUUUGGAAUUUUGCUAUCCUCUCUAAAGUACGGGUAAAAGACACCCUUCCCCAAGGGUAUUUGCAGAAGAAUUGCACGUCCUUCGUCAUCUCAACAGUGAACUCAGAAGGCCUUAUGGGGUUAUUAUGGCACCCUAUCACACCAUCUACCAAGAUUAUAAGAGAUAAGGCCAGCUGCUUCCACCCAUCCAUGGUUUCCUCCUCCUUCAGCCAGACCACCAAAUCAUGCACUGUUGGAUUCGGCUUCUCCCCAAACUUCUCCUCAAACAGAGUUUUCCAGACACUUUGACUACCAGCUUUAACCUUUAGCACAUCCGUCACGUCUUUCUUGUUGGGAUAUGUCCCACAUUCUAGACCAGUUACCAGACUAAAUUCUCUUAAUCCGAAUUUUAUUGGAUGACCGCCGAAGACCAUCCACAUCUCAUUCACUUUACUCGUCACUAACUGACGACAUAUUAGUCCAAGAACAAGUUUACCUGAGAAGGAAGACUUGUUAGCAGGUAUCCUAAAAAGGUCCCCAAAUGGAGAAUCGAGAAGAAACUGCAUCUCCUCUUUUCCCUUAAGAACUUGUGCUAUAUCAGAAAGGUACUCCGGUUUGGAGUACGCGUUCAUCUUCGUCUUCGCAGGGUACCGGUCUAGGGCAAAGAGUCUAGGUGGUAACUCUUCAACUAUAAGAUCUUCAGUCGGAGCCACGCUUGUACUGCCUGCAAUUACAAGUGAUAUACAAUUAAGUACGGAUGUAUGAAUUCGUGUACGUACACAGUAAUUAUCAACAUUAUAUACUCAACAUCUGAAUUUUGGCGGAAACAGAGAUUUCCAAUUCAACUUCUCAAAUUUUCAAACUACAGAUAUAGCAAAAUCCGGCAACUUCUAUCCCUUUAAUCAAACAAGCUUUAAGAUUCCGAUACACCCAAAGAAACUACAAACGGAAUAAUAUCGGAACUUACCCAAUUCCUCCGGCGGAUUUCUCGGAGGGAGUUUCCUCCUCGGGGAUACUCUGAGUUCCACCUUGUCCUUCUCGGGGCCUUCCUGCGUAUGCUUCUUCCUAGAGACUACGUCGUUUGGUUUAUUCCCAGCCAUCUCGAAGGUUGGUAUCUCGCCGGAAUUCUCAGGUCGCCUUCGCCGGAAAAACUGGAACUUUCUCUUCGCCGGUUUUUCGAGUUCAAUGCAAUGCCUCAAAUCAAGUAGAGAUGUCGAAAACGAAUAUGGAUGAAUGAAUUCCGAACUGAUUUCUACUUCUCUCUCGAAUCUCUCGGAGAUGUCGAACGAAGAUGAUGAAUUCUUCGUUUUCUUGAAUUUUUUUUUUUUUUUUUUCAAAACAAAAAGUAACUAAACCGCUAGAAACUAAACCGUAACGUAACCGUUCACGUUUGGUUUUUCGUCAAGGGCAUUUUCGUCAUAAAAUGGAAUAAUUGCCAAAACAUGAGAAAUGAAUCUCACUUUGCCAAAAUGUGAGAUCAAAUCUUUUUUUUAUGUCAAACGUGAAAUUAACUUAAAAAAAAAAUGACAAAAUAAACACGAUCAGGACUUGUAGUCGUCGAUAUGUUAUCACAUAAUUAAAACUGCAUGUUAUUUGUCAAAACAAAACAAAAAAAAACAUAAAAGCAGAAGCACUAUUACUACCUUUUGUCUCCCAAGGACAGACCCAUCUUGUUGGAAAUACACUCAAGGGCUUCCUUCCACUCCAUGAUCUGAUCUACUCGGGAAGUCUUCGCAAGCGCCCAAAACUUGUCACCAAACUCACCGGUCUGUCCUCUCACAUCUCUUGCCCUAACCUUGUAGAAGAUGGGAAUGACUUGGAGCUUUCCUUUAUCCACACGUUUCUUCAUCUUCACCAGCUCAUCCAUGCACCAACUCGACUCCGCAUACCUGCAGGAUUAUGACGAUACUGUCAAUACAAACUCUAUAAAAUAUCACAAAUGAUUUGACUAGAGUCUAGAGAACAAUAAAAACAUGCGUCUAUAGAGAAUUUUUACCUUUUUUUUUAAUGUAGAUUGAAUGAAGAAUAGAUAUAAGUAUAGGUUAUCUUGACCCAUAAGUCUUUGUUAAUUAACAGUACCUACUAGAGAAGAUAACUAGCGCGAUCUUCGACUCUUUAAUCCUUACAAAAAGGUUUGUCAUGUUUUUUCCCCUUAGCUCCACUACAGGAAAUGAAGGUAUUCAUAGCGUCCGAAAACCGCUAUAUAAAGCUACUAUAGCGUUAUUAGAAACGAUGUAUCUCCGCCCGUUAUAAUAGGUCUGAUACUUUAUAUAGCGGUUGUUUCUUAUGCUAUGGUAUAUUUUUAAUACAUAGCGGUUUUGUAAACGCAAUAUUUAAGUUUACAAUAGCGGUUGUUGUUUGCUAUAUAUAUGGUUAAUUAUUCUAUUAUGAAUUACAAUAGCAGUUAAUAUAUGGUUAUAGAUAGCGUUUUCUUACGUAUAGUUUUAUAUAGAUAGCAUUCAUAUGAAAGUAUUAAAUACGUAUAAUUUUGUAUAGAUAGCGUUUUUGUAGAAGUAAAAUACGUAAAUUUUUAUACGUAUAUUUGUGGAAGUAUAAUAUACGUAUAAUUUCCGAUACGUAUAUACAAGAUUUUAAAAGGUAUAUACAGUAUUUUGUACAUAUAAAAUUAUACAUUUUAUACAAAUGAUGCAUUGUACAAAAGAGUAUUUUUAUACGUAUUUUUAUACUCAUUUUUUUACAAAAAAAAAAUAAGAAAAUACAUAAAAUUUGUUUAUUUACAAAAAAUAAAAUAAGAAAAUACACAAAAUUUGUCUCUUUAGCCUCUACACCUUUCCACUUCCAUUAUAGUUUUCCUCCACUUCCAUUGUAAACCGAAACAUCGUAAAUUCACAAAAUGGUGAAACGACUUUGAGACUUUUUGUUUCCGGAUCCAUAGCAAAAACUCCAUAUCCCGACAAUGCCAAUCUUCUUGCAAUUCCUGCAAAAUCAAGCUAGUUAGCAAUCAAACAAGCCUCAUUUUAACAUACAAACCAUUUGCUAUUUAUGAAAAAUAAACAAACAUGCCUUCGAAGAAAAACGUGCAAGUAUCUCCAUAACCAUGGCAGAAACAAACCAAAGCUCUAGGCCUAGAAGCUUCAGGAAGCCAGCUUUUGGAGAAGAUCUCAACUCCUCUCGAAUUCACCUCAUAAGACUACAUAAACCAGAGAUCAUCACAAACAAGACAGUUGCUUCAAGCUAUAAACUAACUUUGAUUAAGGAAAAAUUGAAUUAAAACCUAAUCCUUGUCUUCUUUUACCUCCUUUGUCUUAAUCCCAGUCUCUGGUGUCUGCAACAUCACGAAAAACCAACACUUUUAAUAAAAAAACCACACAUCUCAAACAAAGCUGAAGCAGAUUGGUCUAAAGUCUCAACCUUUCUAAUACUCACUUCAAUUGGAAAGGACAAACAAACAAAAAGACUUAACAAUCUACUGAUUCAUUCAAUUUCGGAUGUUUAAAAAUCAACAAAUCUGGAUUCCAAAUAAGAAUAAAGCUCAAACUAAUCUGGAUUCCAAAUAAGAAUCAAGCUCAAACUAAUCUGGAGUUCAAAUGAAUGUUGUUCAUUUGACUACUCAGGCUAAUUAAAAUCACCAUUUUCAUGUCUAAACAAUAACAGUAUUAAUCAAUUUAAGAAUCGAUAAAGCGAGAUAUGAGGAAAAAGGGAGAAGCAUAUAACUCUAUCGAGAAGGUGAUAUCUGUUGAUGUUUGUCUCAGGAAGAGAAGGUGAGAAAGCUAGGGUUUUUACUGUCAAACAAAUAAACAAGUGUUAGAUUCAGUUGAACAAAACUCUUAUAAUGGUAUCAAAAGAAACACAUAAACAAUUUGUUAGAUUCGACAGACCAUUCUUAUUCUUCGUCUUCUGCUUUGGUUCUCUCAUAUUCGAGUCGGACAUGGCAAUGAAUUUGAGGUUUGAAGAAGUAGGAUGAGAGAAUUUUUUUCUGAAUCAGCGAAGAGAAGACCUAAUCUGAAUCAAUUUUGUUGUGAAUUUUGUUCUCAGUCGAGGAAAGGAAGAAAGGGUUGAAGAGAAUCUCGCCCCAGAGCGAUGAACGGAUGAGAUUAAAGGAAGAAAGGGUUGGGCGAUGAACGGAUGAGAUUACCUUAAACAUGCAGCCGCCAAAGCAUUUGAAAGGCUGAGAUGUCGCCACGUCAUGUAUCCGAGUGAAACAUUAUGAUUGGAUAGAGUAAAUUGAUCAGGUAUUAGAUCAGAUGAAUGGCUGAGAUCUCGCCACAUCAGCAAUUCGAGUGAAAUAUUAUGAUUGGCUUAUUUUGUUUAUAGGCAUAAAAAUGUGUUUUUACAAUUUAUAUAAUUUUAAAAAUUAUAUAUUGAUGAAUUAAUAUGUUUAUGAUUUAUUUACAUGAUUAGAUAACUUUUUCGCAAUUUAAAAAAAAUAUUUUGCAAUGUUUUUAGAAAUUUGAAGGUAACACAUAUGAUUCCCUUAUAAUACAUGCACACUAACCUUCUUAUUGUGUAAAUCAUAUUGUUGAAAUACAUUAAUGAUGUUAUAAUUAACAAAAUGAUUGAAUUCAUUUAUGUUAUAAUAGUAUACUUUAUAUCAUUAAUAUUAGCUACUAUUUAAAACCCUAAACCCUAAACCCUAAACCCUAAACCCUAUCAUUCCAUCUGUAGAAAGACCGAGUCGAAGGUUUCUUGGUUCUGCAGCAAACUCUGGC